rnacentral:misc_RNA from 1 species
UACAGAAAUAUCAAUAUCAAACAGUUUUUUAGUGAAAAAGAAAAAAAAUUUAACGAAAGGAAAAUGACUAAUCAAAGCAAUGUGAAUAAAGCAUCGGUGAUAUUUAAUCCUGUCGUGGAUUAUGACAGCGUGCUUUCGCUCUUUUUGGAAGAAUUCAAUACACGCUGGAGCAAUGUAAAACCCUCACCGGAGACUGGACUCGAAGGUUAUGAAGAACUGACCAUACUCGGUUCCGGUUCUUUUGGACAGGUGGCAUUGUCCAGGGACAAAUCCACAGGUGAUUAUUAUGCUAUAAAACUGAUGAUGAAGGAAAGAAUCGUCAAGAUGAAACAAGUUGCGCAUGUACAUAAUGAGAAACGUGUUUUGGCUUGCAUUAAAUUCCCUUUCCUAAUUUAUUUGGAGUUCUCACGCAAGGAUUUCGAUCUGCUCUAUUUGGGCUUGCCGUUCAUAAAUGGCGGCGAACUAUUUACCUAUCAUCGCAAAAUGCGUAAAUUUAAUGAGAAACAGGCACGUUUCUAUGCCGCGCAAGUGUUCCUCGCUUUCGAAUACUUGCAUUUUCUACAUCUGCUCUAUCGUGACUUGAAACCGGAAAAUGUGAUGCUCGACAAGAAUGGCUAUAUAAAAAUAACGGAUUUUGGAUUUGUGAAGAAAGUUGAUACACGCACCAUGACCCUAUGUGGCACGCCCGAAUACCUAGCGCCCGAAGUUAUACAAUCGAAACCCUACGGCUCGUGUGUCGAUUGGUGGGCUUUCGGUGUUUUCAUUUACGAAAUGGUCAAUGGCUCUUCACCCUUUGCGCCCUUCAAUCGCGACAUAAUGGUUAUGUAUGGCAAGAUCUGCGAAGGCGAUUACAAAAUGAUACAGAGUUUCAGCCCCGAACUUAAGGACUUGGUUGACAAUUUGUUGCAAGUUGAUUUGUCUAAGCGAUUUGGCAGCUUAAUAAAUGGCAAUAAGGAUAUUAAAAAUCAUGAUUGGUUCAAGCCGAUCGAUUGGUUUGGUAUUCUCAAUCAGGAGGCACCUGCACCGUAUGUGCCACAAAUCGCGCAUGCAGAAGAUUUGUCGAAUUUUGAUAAAUUUCCCGAGUUUCAUCGCGGACCGAAAUCGAAAAUAUGUCGUUUUUGUGACACGUUCGCUGAGUUUUAAUUCUUUUUUUAAGAAUUUUUAUACCCGAUUUACUGUAUUGGCAAGCAAGCAAGUACGAGUUGCUCUAUAAGAAAACUGACGACCGACUGUAACGAGCAGGCAAUUUCUCUAGUAUGCGUUUGCA